rnacentral:rRNA from 1 species
UACGAAGGGUGCAAGCGUUACUCGGAAUUACUGGGCGUAAAGCGUGCGUAGGUGGUUUGUUAAGUCUGAUGUGAAAGCCCUGGGCUCAACCUGGGAACGGCAUUGGAAACUGGCUUACUAGAGUGCGGUAGAGGGGUGUGGAAUUCCCGGUGUAGCAGUGAAAUGCGUAGAUAUCGGGAGGAACAUCUGUGGCGAAGGCGACACCCUGGACCAGCACUGACACUGAGGCACGAAAGCGUGGGGAGCGAACAGG